UACGGGGGGGGCAAGCGUUGUUCGGAAUUACUGGGCGUAAAGGGUCUGUAGGUGGCCAACUAAGUCAGACGUGAAAUCCCUCAGCUUAACUGGGGAACUGCGUCUGAUACUGGAUGGCUUGAGUGCAGGAGAGGAACGCGGAAUUCCAGGUGUAGCGGUGAAAUGCGUAGAUAUCGUAAGGAAGACCAGUGGCGAAGGCGGGUCUCUGGACAGUUACUGACACUGAGGCACGAAGGCCAGGGGAGCAAACGGG
rnacentral:rRNA from 1 species